rnacentral:tmRNA from 1 species
GGGGGCGCAAUGGUUUCGACGGGGAUUUUGAAGUAUUCGGAGCGAGCCGCAGUGGGUGCUGCGCAAAAAACCCAAAUUUUAAAAUUAAACGCUAACAAUAAUUUAGCUUACGCUGCCUAAGUUAUGGCGGCUGUCCUUCCCCACUUACCGCGUUUGGGGAUAAGGGCAUCAACACGAGCGGUGCACAUGAACUUUGAAAGCUUUGACAAAGUCACGAUUUUAUGAAGCUACCGGCACAGAUUGCCUGUCUUUGGGCUGUCUGUGUGGGGAAUCUUAAACAAAGACUACGCUCGUAGCGCCGGGUAUGAAUAGGUUUUCGGACAGGGGUUCAAUUCCCCUCGCCUCCACCA